GAUGAACGCUGGCGGCGUGCCUAAUACAUGCAAGUCGAGCGAACGGACGAGAAGCUUGCUUCUCUGAUGUUAGCGGCGGACGGGUGAGUAACACGUGGAUAACCUACCUAUAAGACUGGGAUAACUUCGGGAAACCGGAGCUAAUACCGGAUAAUAUUUUGAACCGCAUGGUUCAAAAGUGAAAGACGGUCUUGCUGUCACUUAUAGAUGGAUCCGCGCUGCAUUAGCUAGUUGGUAAGGUAACGGCUUACCAAGGCAACGAUGCAUAGCCGACCUGAGAGGGUGAUCGGCCACACUGGAACUGAGACACGGUCCAGACUCCUACGGGUGGCAGCAGUAGGGAAUCUUCCGCAAUGGGCGAAAGCCUGACGGAGCAACGCCGCGUGAGUGAUGAAGGUCUUCGGAUCGUAAAACUCUGUUAUUAGGGAAGAACAUAUGUGUAAGUAACUGUGCACAUCUUGACGGUACCUAAUCAGAAAGCCACGGCUAACUACGU
rnacentral:rRNA from 1 species